UAACAAGGAUUCCCCUAGUAACUGCGAGUGAAGCGGGAAAAGCUCAAAUUUAAAAUCUGGCGGUCUUUGGCCGUCCGAGUUGUAGUCUGGAGAAGUGCUUUCCGCGCUGGACCGUGUAUAAGUCUCUUGGAACAGAGCGUCAUAGAGGGUGAGAAUCCCGUCUUUGACACGGACUACCAGUGCUUUGUGAUGCGCUCUCAAAGAGUCGAGUUGUUUGGGAAUGCAGCUCAAAAUGGGUGGUAAAUUCCAUCUAAAGCUAAAUAUUGGCGAGAGACCGAUAGCGAACAAGUACCGUGAGGGAAAGAUGAAAAGCACUUUGGAAAGAGAGUUAAACAGUACGUGAAAUUGCUGAAAGGGAAACGCUUGAAGUCAGUCGCGUCUGCCGGAACUCAGCCUUGCUUUUGCUUGGUGCAUUUUCCGGUUGACGGGCCAGCAUCGAUUUUGACCGUCGGAAAAGGGCUAGGGAAAUGUGGCACCUUCGGGUGUGUUAUAGUCUCUAGUCGCAUACGACGGUUGGGAUCGAGGACCGCAGCGCGCCGCAAGGCAGGGGUUCGCCCACUUUCGCGCUUAGGAUGCUGGCAUAAUGGCUUUAAACGAC
rnacentral:rRNA from 1 species